rnacentral:rRNA from 1 species
UUCGCAAUGCCCGAAAGGGUGACGAAGCGACGCCGCGUGGGUGAAGAAGGCCUUCGGGUUGUAAAGCCCUGUCAGGAGUUAUGAAAUGUAAGUGCGCUAAUAUCGUGCUUAUUUGACAAAGGCUCCAAAGGAAGUCACGGCUAACUCUGUGCCAGCAGCCGCGGUAAUACAGAGGUGGCGAGCGUUGUUCGGAAUUAUUGGGCGUAAAGAGCACGUAGGUGGGUUUGCAAGUCAGAUGUGAAAGCCUUCUGUUCAACGGGAGAAUUGCAUCUGAAACUGCUAAUCUUGAGUAUAGGAGGGGAGAAUGGAACUUCUGGUGGAGCGGUGAAAUGCGUAGAUAUCAGAAGGAACGCCGGCGGCGAAAGCGAUUCUCUGGCCUAUUACUGACACUCAGUGUGCGAAAGCUAGGGGAGCAAACGGGAUUAGAUACCCCGGUAGUCCUAGCCGUAAACGAUGGGCACUAAGUAGAGGGGUUU